GGCUCCGCCUCCGCCUCUAACCCCUCCCCGCCGGGCCCGGACCACGCUAGCCGCUGCCUAGCCCGGGCUCCCGGCAGGAGGGCGCCCGGGCCCAGUACCCGAGUGCCCCGGUCUCUAGAGGGCUACGGAGCGCGUCUGCCUCCAGGACCGGGUAUUUGACUGAGCAGCCUGCGAAGUAGAGCGCGGAAGGUCCGCAGUGGGUGCGGCGCGGCGCAGUCGGGGCUAGCCCACUUGCUCAGCGUAGCUUUUCUAGAGCGUCGGGGGUCUCGAGGGGCCGGGGUUGGACAGCAGCUGCGCGACUCCGAGGGACUCUUCUCUGCAGAUCCAGGCCCGCACCUAUCUGCAGAUGUUCUUCCAUAGAGCAAUUCUCUGCACUUCUUAGAAACAACUGUUGCUUAUACAACUGUUGCUUAUAGCAGAAGACAGCCUUUAUCUCUUCCAGUGAUCCACAGACUUGAUGAAAUCAGUUCGGGCCUCAGAGAGAAGAUGAAUUGUAAGCAAAAUUCAAAAAUCACGAUUCUGGGGAAAAAGACCCCCAAAUCCAGAGCCCUGUAGUACCAGCCCUGCUAGUUCAACUGAAGGCUGCAGCAUGCCCUGAUCUAAACGGGAAAACACAACAAGGAAAAUAUCAGAAGCACAAGCCAGAGCUGUUGUCCUCCUUACUCAUCCACUCAUCCAUCAAGAUAAGUCAGAGAUCAAAAGGAAUUCCCUCUCCAUCCUCCAAGAAAGACACUUGAGGAGACAAUUAGUAACAUGGUGAGAGGAGCUGGAUCUCAAGUCCCCAAAGCACAAAGUAAGAAGCAGCCAGCUCUGCCAAGAGACAGGAAAAAACCCUGACUGGACCUUCAGAGACAGAUCAGGAGGAUCAAGGAAACUCCAAUCGAGCACAUCACAUGGGUAAAGUCUUCAGACUCUAUGCCUGGUCUGCAGGACAGUGGGCUAGCAAUUCAUAACGGUUGGAGCCUGGGUCAGGAGGGAGAGGAGCCCGUGUGGCUUGGGGAGGUGGCUGUCAAACAACCUGCUGAGGGACUUGAGCUUCAUUCUGGAAGACACAGGAAGAUGUGGCAGGGUUUUGAGAAGGGGUGUGGCUUUGCAAAGACUUCUUUGGCAGGAAGGAAAGUGUGCUAGGUUUCCACAGCAGCCAGCUUAUCAACGUUCCUCCAGCCCUGCUGAAUUCAGAAUCUCAGGACAUCUGUUCCUCCCGCCACCUUCCUGAUGGCCUACUCGUUUUAUUUUGAAGCACAUACAGUAUCUCUUCGUUUCCAGCAUCGUCCCCAUUAUCCACUACUUCCUCCCAACCGCGCUUUCUAAACUGCUGAGGAUGGAAGAGAAAGCAGACUGGACUUGCAGUAUACAUUUCACACUCUCAUCCAACAAGCAACUUAGCCGCUGACACACUGCCAGCUGGUCCCAUCAAGUCAGGUGGCAUGGGUCACCCAACAAGCUGCCUGUUGGAAUAGCUGGCUGUUACAUAGCCUGUUAAGAACCAGGCGAACAAGACCACCAAAAUGUGGCAGCUGCUGUCCAGACAAGACACCUUCAGGCAGAGCUGGGUGCAGCCCGGUGACUCGUGCAGACAACAUCUGGGUUUUAGUUGGAAGACGGCCUCUGCAUUGGAUGAAGCUCUUCCCACAGACUGCAGAUGCCCUGUGGAUGGCUACCUUCCUCUCUGUGAUGGACUGCACCCUUGAGCCAGCCCAAAGAAACACUUCUUUCCCUGAGUCACAUUCACCGGGCAUUUUUUCACAGCAAAGAGGAAAGUGACUAACACAAGUUGUUACCCCAUUUCUGCUAGAUCUGGGCUCCUUUCAUUAGUCAACAUGACAUGGAUUGAACACCCACUCUGCCCUACUACUGAUCUACAAUGAAGGUGCCGGAACAAGGAAGUUAUGGGAACAAGACAGAGUUGGUUCAAAGAGAUGAUCGACAACAGCGCAGACAUGAAUGAGCAGGAUAAUGCAUGAUGACAGCCCAGUGAAGACCAUAAAGCAGAGGAUCCGGGGGCCAAGGAGAAUAUGUCUGCCCUGUGGUCAGGGAGGUCAACUUUUGGGGAAGUAUUUAACAUUGUCCCUGAGGCCUGUGCUUUGAAUCUUCUUGGCCCAUUUCUUAAUAUCAUGGCUCUCAUGACUUGAUCUUAGUGCCUUUCCUCCGCCAUUUCAGCUGUAGGACCCCAGGAAGGCUUCUCAGAGCCUCCCACAGCAAGCCAUAUGCUAUCCUACUACUUAUAAACCCACACUCUAUAAUGGUCCUUCACUCUGGCACCUCAUUAUAGAAAGUAGGAUGAAGUUGGCACCGAGAAUGAUUCCUAUUUGCUUCAGCCACAGUAAUCUCUUCAUUUUCUAAGACUUCAGUUAUGUGUGUUCAAUCAUCAUGGGAAAAUAUUGAAAAGAAAAUUAUUAGAAAUAAGCAGUUUAUUAAUUUAAGUGACUUUUAUUAUAGCAUUUUGUUAUAUGGCUCUACUUUGUUAUUAGUUGUUGGUAAUCAUUUACUAUGCUUUAUAAAUUAUUUGUCAAUAUUAAUAUUUGUUUAUAGGAGAAAAGAGUGCAUAUAGGAUUUGAUGCUAUCUGGGUUUCAAGCAUUCACUGGGGGUCUGGGAAUGGAUCCUCUGAGAUAAAAGGGGCAUGUCUCUUUUAAUACGCAUAAGGUUUACACUGCAGUACUGCUAAGUUCACUUUACUAUUUGGGACUCUGCUGAAAUUAUCUCUUUGCAGAGGAAGAGUAUCUCACCACCCACAUCAGCUUCCUCCUUCACCCAGAACAGAUUCCCAGAAAAUAAAAGUUCCUAAGACUGUUCUAGAAAGUUCAGAGACACAGAUGAGAACUUUGCUCUUUAAUCAUGCUUCAGGAAUGCAGGUGUUAUCUGUACACACUAUUAUCAAUUGUCUUUGAGAUCGCUGGCUAGAGUAAGCUUGGUCAUGAUUUCUAAUCAUUAGAGAUAGGUUGGGAGUUUUCAAUUCAUUUAUUCUCUUUAUUGUAGCUAAUUGAAGAAUACGUUGCCUUUGGAUUCAAAUAGCCAUUACUGGUUCUCUUUGCCAAGCCCUAUGCAAGACAUAUCUCCUUGGGAUUUUGUGAUGGCUUAGUGCUCUGUGUCAGGGAUAGAGAGGUGAGGCUCAGGUGAAUUAAGGGCUAGCUCAAAGUCAAAUGUAGGGGUAGAAACACGUGCAAGUCUUCUGACCCCAGUACAUGGACUUGCAGGCUGGAGCUCUCCUACCUUUCUUUUUACACACAGUAUUGACUCACAUCUUGAGGAAACUGAGGUUAAAUGUAAUGCGCAAGCAUUCAUCUUUGUAAAGAUUUGUUUCAUUGGGACCACUGGUUACAAGUGAAAGCUACAGUGGAUGUGUCCAUGACAUAGAUUAAACACGAUUACAGAGGAGGUGGUGUAUCCCUCACAUCUUGACUUCUCUUACGUUUAAUAUAACCCUGAAGAGGACACAGAAGUUCAAAUAGAGCAUAUGGCAUUCAUAAGGUUACAUACAUGUAAUCAUACAUGAUACUUUUAUUGUAAAUAAAAAACACUAUUUAUAAUGGCAACAAGUGCAUUAUACAGAUAAAACAUAGGACUGCAGCUUCAUUAUUUAUUAAAGGAAAGAAAAAAAAUCUACACAAGUGAUCGGGGAAACAUAGUCUUACUCUGGUGGCAUUUGUCCCUAGAUUGUCCCUAGAUUGCUUUACAGAUUUCAUCACAAUUCAAAUCAAAAUCAUAGCAGGAAUUUGUGGGAUUGUGAUAAACUCAUUUUGAGUUUUCUAUGAAAGUAAUAAAGGCUUUUGAGUAAUCAACACUGAAAAAGAAAACACAGGAAUGGGAGCACUCGACUAGUAAAUGAGACAUUGUUGAGAAGGUGCAGAACAAACAAAUAAACCGAUGGAGAAUCCCUAAAGCAAGGUCACUUGUGCUGCAGUGCACUGACAGAACUCAACACAGCAGCUGUUCUUCAUCGGAGAGGCUGCGACCAUGUAAAAUCAGGAAAUCUUCAAGAUCAGGCCUGUUGACCACUGAUGCUCCCUUACAGGGGAAAAGGUGGAGAGAACAUGGGGAAGCUUAUUACACCUUCUCUUGAGACUCCAGCUUUUUCUUCCUGAACCUCCCAGCCAGUUGUAUAUAAUUCUGUUCCACCUGCACAUGGUCUCAUAGUCUUGGGAGUAUACAGUCUGUGGCAGGCUAGUGGAAGGGAGUGACUCCAUAUUUGCAGUGGUGGGGAAGUCACCCAUCAUUGACAUUGGGAGUGGUUGUGUGGCUACUUUGGGGUCAUUAAUAUACCUAUAAAUAAUUCUUCACCCAUGCUCUGUAAGUAAAAAUAAAGUUAUUAACUCAC
rnacentral:sRNA from 1 species